CAUGCUCAAACUGAUCAGGAAUAAAACUUUAAGUCUAAAAAAUGAUGAAAAUUAUUGUUGCAUUUUAUAUUUUUGUUUUGAAGGUCACUGAAGGCAUGGACUGGACUCACCAGUGGUAUUUAGCACCAGCACUUACACUACACUUUACUGUGUACCACUUUGUAGUAUUACUGGCUAUGCUCCUUGCAGAUGUAUAAAGGAGAAUUAUAUUAACAUCUGUCAUAAAUACAGUACCUGAACAGCCUUUGUUAUCACUAGAGGAGAAUUUUGAACCUUUGCUUGACCUGGAAGAUGAUGCUUCUCUUUCCUCUGGUUAUAUUUCUCUCUUCAUGUAGCCUUUAAUUUGUAUUAUUUUGUUAUAAU